AGUAGUCUCUGCCACAGGAAGCACGAGUUAAAAGCAUUCCAAUGACCCAAACACUUCAUCUGCUGUUUCCAUGGCUGCAGAUCAUCAAAACACCACAGAUCCCUUAGGAGUCCCCUGUGAAGAAAUUAUUGUUUACUCUGCUAACUGAUUGGUCUAUGGUGUUCGAGUGCAUUUUAAAGCGUCUACAGAGGAGCAGGGUGUGGGGGUCUCCUGCUGAGAAAAGCGAGCAAGCUUUGGGUUCUCUCAGAAGUACUGACAAGGACCAUGUUGUGAGAUGGUAAUGACAACCUCAACCAGAGAGCGCAUCGUGGUUUUAGUUCUCCAUCAUGAGCAAAACCAAGAAAUACAGAAUAAAAUGGAUUUGAUCCCUGAA